AACGCGAAGAACCUUACCUACCCUUGACAUGUCUAGAAUUUUGCAGAGAUGUGGAAGUGCUCGAAAGAGAACUAGAACACAGGUGCUGCAUGGCCGUCGUCAGCUCGUGUCGUGAGAUGUUGGGUUAAGUCCCGCAACGAGCGCAACCCUUGUCAUUAGUUGCUACGAAAGGGCACUCUAAUGAGACUGCCGGUGACAAACCGGAGGAAGGUGGGGAUGACGUCAGGUCCUCAUGGCCCUUAUGGGUAGGGCUACACACGUCAUACAAUGGCCGGUACAGAGGGUCGCCAACCCGCGAGGGGGAGCCAAUCCCAGAAAACCGGUCGUAGUCCGGAUCGCAGUCUGCAACUCGACUGCGUGAAGUCGGAAUCGCUAGUAAUCGCGGAUCAGCUUGCCGCGGUGAAUACGUUCCCGGGCCUUGUACACACCGAUAGC
rnacentral:rRNA from 1 species